rnacentral:misc_RNA from 1 species
UCAAAGCAGCUCUAAAAAUGGCUCGGGGAAGGGGCAGUGCAAGUCCAGCCAUACUCACUGUGGCUGCACUAGUUUGCCUAAUGGCUAUCACCCACCAUGUUCAUGCAGCAACUUACACUGUUGGAGGCAGUGGUGGUUGGACUUUUAAUGUCGAUAGUUGGCCCAAAGGCAAACGCUUUAAAGCUGGUGACACACUAGUAUUCAAUUAUGAUGCAACAGCCCACAACGUGGUAGCUGUGAACAGAGGAGGUUACAGCAGCUGUAGUGCUCCAGCAGGUGCAAAAGUGUACAAAUCAGGGAAAGAUCAAAUUCAACUGGUGAAGGGACAAAACUACUUCAUAUGCAGCGUUUCUGGGCACUGUCAGUCUGGAAUGAAGAUUGCUAUUAAUGCUGCAUGAAGUAAAAGCUCAGAUUAACUACAGCUUUAGGGUUAUCUCCCUCGUAUACACAUAUAUGUAUAUAUAUGGACUAGUACUGUUAUUAAUGUGUGCACGUGUGAGAGUGGCUUAUUAAACUUGUGUGUAUGUCUUUUCCUUCACAGAUCUUUGGAAUCCUAUGUUACUGUUCAGGGUUAAUAAAGUCUUCUGGAUUGUGUCCUACGGGCCUAAACAGCACUGUUGACAUAUGUAUUUUUCUUAUAAUUUAUGCUGAUCUUGAUAUUGCAUUUUUUAUGUUGAGAUGUAUAUAUCUUCCUUUUUGGAGGAAAGGGCCCAAGUGUUGAAUCCAUGACUUUUGGUAAUUUAAGGGUUAGGGGUGUAGG